AGUGUUGGAUGUGUGGUGGUAGCCUCACUGCCUUGAGACAGGGUUUGCUUGGGCUGAUCGGGGGUGGAGGCAGGAGGAGUCAUGGAUAGUUUCGGGGUCUAGGUGCAUUUGUGGCAGUGGUAUGAGGUGGCAAGACAAAGGGGGUCAAUGACAUGAAGAGUAUGCCACACAAUAUGGAGCAUUGGGAUAGAGGAUGUGAGGUGGGGUUCCUGGGAUUUGUGCAGAAGAAAACCUGACAUCCAUUUCUUGAGCAAGUUGCUUAACUCUGCGCAGCAUUUUCAUCUGUAACAUAAUAUCUACCUUAGAGGAUUCUUGGGCACAGCCAGUGAGCUAAGAGAUACAAAAGUGCUUGCAAGCCGUGAAGGGCUACAAGAAAGGUCCAGCUCAUCGGGUCCAUGGGCUGAGUAGGAGUGCAGGGCUACAAACCUGGGAAGACACAGAGAACUGGAAGUGGUAAAGGAAGGUGACCUAUUGUCUCUCUGGAUGGGAUGGUUUGGGAAUGGUGAUGCUAGAUCACCACUGUACAUGGUAAAGAUGACCCCUUUGUGCCAGGACUGGGGUGAAGAGAUGAGCCUUUUACUCACAUGUUCGCUGAGAGGUGUUGCUGGGAGCCAGGCAGACUGACCACGGCUGUGGAAUGUCCUGGAGAGACAGGUGCCGGGUGAUAAGUGCUGACCUGCACAGACAGAAAAGACAGCCAAGCAGAACCAGUGAAUGCCACAACCCAGGCCCACAGCAAACAGAGCAGCUACACAGAAAGACCUGACACAGCUGAAAACCAACAGCCAUGCCCAGUGCCACCCAUUGAUAGAAGAGGAAACAAUAAUGAUAAAAUGAAAAAAGCUCCUGGAAGGCCAGGCUCAGUGGCUCUCAUGCCUAUAAACCUAAUACUUUGGGAGGCUGAGAUGGGAGGAUCGCUUGAACCCAAGAAUUCUAGACCAGCCUGGGAAACAUAGUGAGACCCCAUCUCUUUCAAAAAAAUUAGCUGGGUGCGAUGGCAGGUGCCUGUCAUUCCAGCUACUCAGGAGGCUGAGAUGGGAGAUUCGCUUGAGCCUUGGAGGUCAAGGUUACAGUGAGCCAUGACUGUGCCACUGCACUCCAACCUGGGUGAAAGAGUGAGACCCUAUCUCAAAAAAAAAAAGUUCCUGUAAACUGCCUACUAUACUAGGGCUUUGGCAAACAUAUUGCCUUGCUUAUUUCCUUCUGAGCACGUAUCACAGAUUCUAAGUGUUUCCUUACUAGACUGUAAAUUCCAUGAGGGCAGGGACUAUGUCAGUCUGGUUCAUCAUUGUAUUUCUGCAUGCUCAAUAUGUACUUGUAGCUUAAAGAACAAAGGAAUGAGUGAAGGAAUGAAUGAAAAGGUCUUCUUACCUAGUACACCAAGGAUAAUGAAACCUUCUCCAUGCCAUCCAGAGUAAAUACAUUCAUUCUGUUUUCAGUCAUCUACUGAUAAAUGAUGGUAACUCUGUGUGUGCCUUUUUAGGACUAUGCUUUGGUGGGUACAACUAUUGUUUGUGUAUUUGUGUUUAUGUGGGUGUGAGUGCAUUAUUAAAUACAUAUGUCCCUUUGUUUUGAGCAAACGUGUAUGUUUGCUCAAGGCCCAUGGCAAUUUAAUGUACAUGUGUGAUGGCAUUAGUCCAUUGCAAAUCUUGUUUUGUUCACACAUGUGGUCUACGGAUUGAUGUGUGUAUGCUGCAUGUGCUGCAUGGGAUUGCAGACACAAUUGUAUAAGGGAUUGUGAUUAUGAGAUUCUGUGUGUAUGUAUGUGAACUCUAGAGGUGUGUACAGGUAUGCCCACCACGUAAUUUUGUACAUGUGUCUAUGUCAAUGAUUGUGUAAAUGUAUGUGUGGUCAUGUAUGUAAUUGUGACAGUCCAAAGAUCAAGUUGUAGGAUCAAAAAACCACUUUAGUCAAAUAAUAAGUGUUGGUGAGGAGGUAUAAAAGUGGAAACCCUCAUACAUUGCUGGUUGGAAUGUCAAAUGGUACAGCCUCUUUGCAGAACAGUCUGGCAAUUCCUAAUAUGAUUAAACAUAGGAUUACCAUAUGAUCCAGUAAACCCAUUUCUAGUGUAUGCUCAAAAGAAAUGAAAACAUAUUCCACACAAAAACUUAUAGGCAAAUGUUUCAGCAGCAUUAUUCAUAAUAACCCAAAGAGGGAAACAACUCAAAUGUCUACUCAUUAAUGAGUGGAUAAACAAAAUAUGGUGUAACCAUACAAUGAAAUAUUAUUCAGCCAUAAAGAAGAAUGAAGUAUUGAUACAUAAGAGAACAUGGAUGAACCUUGAAAACAUUAUGCUAAGUGAAAGAAGCCAGACACAAAAGACCACAUAUUAUUUGAUUCCAUUUAUAUGAAACGUCCAGAAUAAGUCAAUCUACAGAUAGAGAAAACAGAUGAUCAUUUCCAAGGGUUGGGAUGAUGGGGAAUAUGAGGUGAUAGCUAAACAGCACAAGGUUUCUUUUCGAAGUGAUAGAAUAUCCUAAAAUUGUAAUAGUAAUGGCUAUACAUCUGUGAAUAUACUAAAAACCACUGAGUUAUACACCUUAAAUGGGUGAAUUGUAUGGUAGGUGAAUGAUAUCUCAAUAAUAAAGCAUUAAGAAGAACAAAACCGUUCCACAAUCACCCUCCUGAGGAACUCUUAGCACUGCAUAAAGUGUUCUGAGUUUGUAAUCAGAUGUUGUCAUACUGGUUCCUUCAAACAGACAUGACAAGGAGCUGGCUUUGGGCUAGGCUGCUCCUUGCCUAUGACUGGGGAAGGUUCAACCCCUACAGGGCUUAUGUACGUGGAAACUGUUGGAACACUGAUUAAACGGGAUGGACUUCACUUAACACUCUUGGAUUUCCAAUAUUAUGUUUGAGUAAAAGAACUGCUAUCCACAAACACCAUUAAUCCUUUAGGGAGGCAGAAAAGGCCAGAAUGCAAAGCCAUCUUUUCAUUACACUAGGGUCUGUCUUUUUACUUCUCUGGGCCUUUAUCUGGGGAGGGCGUGUUUCCCCCACUUGGAACAGUGAGCCUGGCCGGGACAGUAAUCUGUGGGCUUGUGAUGGCAUUAUUUCUAAUAGGGAAUGGGAAAGGAUGUUAGCUUCUCAGGUUUUAAAGUGUCCUGGAGGAGAAGAGAAAGGACGACAUGAGAAGGAGGAGGAAGGAGACAGUGAAGAAGAGGGGUGAGGGGGAGAUAGUGAAAGACCCUGAGAAUGGCAUAGGGUAAAACUGGGACAGAGAUACUGUGGGAGAACGACAGCUGCAGAGGGACAAAGGAAGGAAGGAAGGAGAAGAGAGGGAGAUAAAAACAGUUUGGAGAAACUCUCACAAUACAUUCAUAAGAAGACAAGGAACCCAAUAAAAAUGGGCAACAGAUACCACAGAAGAUGAUAUAUUGAGUGGCCAAUAAAUACAUAAAAAUAUGCUCAACAUCAAUAAUUACCAGGGAAAUGCAAAUUAAAAGCACCGUGAGAUACCACUACACACCGAUGAGAAUGGCUAAAAUCAAAAAAGACCAACCAGCACUUUGGGAGGCCGAGGUGGGCGGAUCAUGAGGUCAGGAGUACGAGACUAGCCUGACCAACAUGGUGAAACCUCGUCUCUACUAAAAAUACAAAAAAUAGCUGGGGGUGGUGGCAUGAGCCUGUAAUUCCAGCUACUCAGGAGGGUGAGGCAGGAGAAUCGCUUGAAUCCAGGAGGCAGAAAUUGCAGUGAGCCGAGAUCAUGCCCUUGCACUCUAGCCUGGGCGAAAGAGUGAGACUCUGUCUUAAAAAAAAAAAAAAAAAAAAAAAAAAAAAGAACCAAUCAUACCAAGUGUUGGUGAGGAUGUAGAGCACCUGCAACUCUCAUACCCUUCCAAUGGGAAUGCAAAAUGGUACAGGCCAUGUUGGAAAACACAUUGGCCAUUUUUCGUAAAGUUAAUCAUACACUUUUCAUACUACUCAGCAAUUGUACUCACAAAUAUUUACUUAAGAGCAAUGAAAACAUAUGUCCAUACAAGGACCUGUACAUGAAUGUUCAGAGCAACUUCAUUCAUUUUAAUGAAAAACUAGAAACACCCCAAAUGCCCAUGAACUGGUGAAUCAAGAGGCAAAUUUUGGUAUAACCACAGCGGCGUACUCCUCAGUGAUACAUGCAACAGCAGGAUGAAUCUUAACAUCACCCUAAAUGAAAGAUGUAGGACGCUGAAGACUAUAUACUAUAUAAUGCUAAUUAUAUAAAAUGUUUUAAAAAUAAUCCAUAACUAUAGUGACAGAAAACAUUAAGGGUUGCCAAGAGCCAGGGUGGGGAGACAGGAUUGAUAGCAAACGGGCACAAGAGAGCUUUUUGAGAUGAUGCAAACGUCUGUUAUCUUGAUGUUGGUAGUGAUUACAUGCUGUAUAUGUUUACCAAAAGUUAUUGAACUGUAUACUCAAAAUGCUUAAGUGUUAUUGUAUAUAAUUAAACCUCAGUAAAGCUGUUAAAAAACAUGAAUACAUUAUCUAGUUAAGGCCACAGGAAACAUCCAAGAGGACUUAGCUUGACUCAGCUCGAGGUCUGGAAUUAGGGAAGGGGAUGGGAAUCGCUCAGCUUCAUACAGGGCAGCUAGCAAGUAACCCUUAUGGUAGGGGGCCACCUGAAUAGGAGAGAAACCAAGAACGGGAACCUAUGGAUCAGAGGCUCAAUCAAUAAGGCAAAGGAAAAAUGAACGAAUGAAUGACUGGAGAGACAGGAAAAGAGAACAAGAUAGACAUAGGCAGAGAAGAGAGAAACUGGGUGGGAAAGAAGACAGGCAGAACAAGACAGAAAGGAAAGCCCCACCCGGUAAGUGAAGAUAACCAGACAGAUGGCCAGCUUCUGAGGAGGCAAGUCUGCUCCUGUCACUGGGAUCGAAGAAGGAGGCCCAGCCUUUCUGAGUGAAUGGGCUUGGCCCUGGUUCCUUUCCCUGGGGUCAAUUGUGACCUCAGGUGCCUGUGCCACAAGGAGUUUGUGAGGCUGGAUGGGAGGUUCUCCACCAACUGAUGCUCCCUGGCACAGGGUUCCGAGUCCUGAGCAAGAUCAGGGAAAUGACUCAUUUAAAAGAAGUCUUUAUCAACCACAGCAGAAUCCACAGCUAUAUGGCUUCUGGGAAUUUCCAGGUUUUCAGGUGCUAAGUGAGGGAGGAAGAGGGUAUAAAGCCUCCUGGCACAGAGUUGCUGGCAAUGCUCUGCCCUGCUGGCCCUGCUGCCUUUACCAUCAGCCACUCAGGUAUAGAAAAUGCAGCUACCUCUUAGGAGUCCAGAGAGGAGGUCUAACUUAGGACUCAGGCCAGUGGCUCUACCAUCUACCAGAACCUGUGAUCUUGGACAAGUGAUUGAAUUCUGUGGAUCCUCCAUUUCUUCAAAAUCUAUAAAAUGGGGCAAUAAUGGUAUUUCUCUCUUAGAGUUGUUAUGAGGGUUAAAUAAAGUAAUCCAUAU